GGAGGAACCAUAUCUGAAACCAUACUAUGAAGGGUUCACAAUGCAAGUAGUGGAAGAAAUUCCACUACACCAUCCCACUCAUUCUGCUUAAGUGGAUCGCACCAUGCACACCACACCCAGGGGAGUACUCAGUUUCCUUUGCUCUUUUAUUUUUCUUACACAUUGAGGACAAUGCAUGAUUUAGGUGUGGGGCUGCAUAUCUCUGAAUAUUUUCUUCUUCUUCUUCUUCUC
rnacentral:lncRNA from 1 species